UAAUAAAUACAAUGAAACGACGAAACGAAACGAUAUAAUGAACGUGAAGUGGAGAAAAGGGGGAUAAAAAGAAAAAAAAUAUUAGUCACGUCGUUCGUCCUCGUGCGCGGGCGGCGACGAAGCCGACGACGACGAGUACCGUCAUCGGCGCCGGCGAAAGUGAGAGUGUGCGCCGAUCGGAGUGGUCGACCGAGUCGCGACCGACGGCGACGAGGACGACCGAUUCGCCGUGCAUAAGCGCGUCUGCUUUGCGUUCUGCCUCCCUACACCUCCCUACCUAUCUACCUACCUAUCUCCCUUCCUCCCUCUCUCCGUAUCGCCCAACCUCCUUCCCCCCACCACACUCUCGUUCGGUCUCGCUCUCGUUCUCGGUCUCAGCUAGCGAGAGCUAGCUCCCGACCUAUAACGUUCGACGUUCGAGCUCACGACACGAUGUACUUAUUUAUUAUGUCGGACCAAUAUCGAAUUCGUUGGGCUACCGAACGAUAAAUCUCCUCUUUUUCUUCCUGAUUCUUGUUAUUAAAGAAAGAAUGAAUUAAGAGAGAAAAAGUUAAGAAGCGACUUAUACAGGGGAAAGACAGUUGCAAGAACGUUUAGUCGAGCUAGGAAGGAAGGAAGAAAGGCAGGAAGGCAGGAAGGCAGGAAGGAAGGAAGGAAGAUAGGAAGGAAGAAAGGAAGGAAGGAAGGAAGGAAGGGCGAAUGGGUGUGUUGGGAGGGAUAGGAGGAUGGAAAGUGGGAUAGAGGGCGGCCAUGGUGUUGCUGACCCGACGACCGCUCUAACCUUCUGUCCCAACGCCCCGCAUCCCGAUCACCACCAUCGAGAAUCCCGUCCUCUAUUUCAAACUGUAGUCCUAGACCAAUAAACGACUUUUGAAUAGUAUAUAUAUAUAUAUAUAUAUAUACUAGGAUGGUCGUUCGAUCCAGAUAUAUCCUAUCAUUUUCGUAUCGUAUGUGCUUAUACGUUUCUUUCCUUCUUCUUCAAUUUUUUGUCUUUUCUUCAUUUUAGAAUUAACGAGAAAGAAAAUAUCGAUAUAAAUGCAUCGUUCGUAUUUAAGUGUAAUAAAAUCGAUAUGCAAUUUUUUUCUUUGGCCUUUUUUGUUUUCUUUUUUUUGUCUUCUUUUUAAUGAAUAUUUAAAUCUAUAUAAAUUGCUAAAACUGAUAAUCAAGUUCAAUCGAAAUAAUUCAUGCAUGUUCGUACCGUGACUUUUAUGAUUGGAUAAAUUUUUUAAAUCGAUUUAUUUCGCCAUUUAAAAUUUAAAAAGAAUAUGUGCUUGUAUUAGAAAUAAAUUAUUCGUUGAUUCAAAGUCCGCAAAAUUUGAAAGGCAAGAAAACCGAUGAUGUGCGAGGGAACGC